CUAGGGUUAUUUGUUUUCAUAUCUUUUCUCCCUCCAUCUUGAGUUUCCUAAGAGCAUCUCAGAUUUGAAACUCCUCCUUCUACUUUCCAUCUUUGGAAGAGUCCAAAUCAAGAAGAAGGAGGCACCUGAUCAACCAUCAAAGAAGGAUCAACGCAGUACUAGUAUAUUGCGCUGAUUUCCUGAAGCAGGACUUCUGAUCGAGAUUCGUGGGCUCAUGUGGACGACUCCUAGAGGCCGGACAUGUGUGCGGCUUGCAACAUCAUCCUCAAGCCCGGAUCAGUGAGGUUAGAAUGUCUAACUUGUAAGGUAAUAGAUCUGAUCUAUUGUUUAAUACAUACAUUAGAUGUAGUAUAG
rnacentral:lncRNA from 1 species